AUCAAGUUAUGGCUGAGGUACCGCCAAAUAUGAACCAAAAAGUAAAAACCGUCGAACAUUCGCGAAGCAGUCAUUUGAAUGAAGUAGUGCUGCACACACAAUACCAAGGCUGGAACUUUAUAAUUAGAAAUGAAUUUUAUGAAAGAAAAUUGUUUUAAAUGCAUUUUGCUAACAUCUGUUUUCAAGCCCGCGAAAUGGACAGCCCGAAAAACAGCUGAAAUGUGCAGAGCAGUGUUAUAAUUGAGGUCGAGCUGCCAACACAAUUUUUGUUAUUCGAUAAAAUACUGUAACUCUUCGUAGUUGACCGUCAAUUUUAAUUAUGUCUGCAAUUGAGUCCUACGAGUUGAAUUGCCAAUGCCACCUGUCAUUUGCCAGUAUUAAUUGUGAUAUAUCUACACCUCCUUUGCCGGUAAAUACGAAUGCUUCUCUCUCCGUUGCUGAGUGAAAGUGCGAGUGUAUGUGUAGGUGUGCAUAAACGAUUAGCAAUUGUUAAAGUGCAAGCGAAAUGUCAAGCGGAAGGUAAGAAAAAUUAAUUUCACAUGUCUCAAGGUGACACUGCCGUUGGGGUGAACUAAUUGGAGGACAAUAACUGAAGCAUUUAAAGAUUUUCAUUCAUAGUAAAAUACAUGCACACACAAAUAUAUAUAUGUUUA